rnacentral:lncRNA from 1 species
UUGGACAGACUAGAUAAUAGACUUCUCAAUUCUUUUCGAUAGUUCAGUAUUUAUGUUUUCCUCUCAUAAUUAGAGUUUGAUUGUCAUGGCUGGAGGUACGUGUUAUUGAGCUUCAAUUUUUAAUUUAUUGAAACUUCAUGAUAAUAUUACUAACACGAAGAAGUCCAACAAAGGCGUAGGUUUGGAUGUUUGGUAUAUCUAAAAGGCGUGAAUUUGUUAUGGAUAAAAAGGGACGUGCUACUAGGAAAGGAUUUGAGGAUUGAAAUAAGAAAAAUCCACUAUUUAUUAAAGUAUUCAAAGAAAAAGAAUAAGAUUAGUGAAGUCGAGAAACAUUACUAUAUUUUAACC